rnacentral:tRNA from 1 species
GUUUUUGUAGUUGAAUUACAACAACAGUUUUUCAAGCUGUAGGUUUAGGUUAAAGCCCUGGCAGAAAUA